CCUACGGGAGGCAGCAGUGGGGAAUAUUGCACAAUGGGGGAAACCCUGAUGCAGCGACGCCGCGUGAGUGAAGAAGUAUUUCGGUACGUAAAGCUCUAUCAGCAGUGAAGAAAAUGACGGUACCUGACUAAGACGCCCCGGCUAACUACGUGCCAGCAGCCGCGGUAAUACGUAGGGGGCAAGCGUUAUCCGGAUUUACUGGGUGUAAAGGGAGCGUAGACGGCAGCGCAAGUCUGGAGUGAAAUCCCAUGGCUUAACCAUGGAACUGCUUUGGAAACUGUGCAGCUAGAGUGCAGGAGAGGUAAGCGGAAUUCCUAGUGUAGCGGUGAAAUGCGUAGAUAUUAGGAGGAACACCAGUGGCGAAGGCGGCUUACUGGACUGUAACUGACGUUGAGGCUCGAAAGCGUGGGGAGCAAACAGGAUUAGAUACCCGAGUAGUC
rnacentral:rRNA from 1 species